AUUGUGGGUGAGUCCCCUCUGGGAGAGGGCUCUGCAGAGGAGGAGAUGCCAAGAGGUCUCUCAACCUGGCUCUCGAGAGCUGCGUGGUUCCAUGCCCGACUCGGCCUCAGUUUCUCCCUUUGUGACAGCAGCUGUGUUUGGAAGCUGAGGGCGGCUUAAGGCAAAGUGGUCCGGGGGACGGUCGGAGGGUGGGAAUGGCCGCACUAGUACUCGCUGGUCAAUGGCAGCUGUGGGCAGAACCCCUCGGGUCUCCACCACCGAAGCCAGGAGGGUUUGUCCCCCUUUUAAAGGCAGGCCUGGGGGAGGGGCAGGCCUACUGGAGAGAUCUGGGACUUCAGCACCUGAAGUCUGCACAGAGGUCCCCGAUGACCAGUGCCAGACCACCUGGGCGCUCGUUAGAAAUCUAAACUCAAGUCAGAAUCUGCCUGUGAACAAGAUUCCCGAGGUCACGGCCAAGUUCCUCCUGCUCUGAAAAUAUCUGUUAGGCCCUUGAGUGGAGUCAGCUGGCCUCCGGGGGCCUCCAGGUGGGUGGACAUUCAUCCUGCGGGGACUUUGAAGUGCACUGGAGGAAUACAUCCUGGGUAGGUGAAAGGGCAAGGUGUCCCAAGGUUGGAUGUCAAGGUCAGUGUGUCUGACCUUGAAAGCUGGGUGGCAUAAUGGAUGGUACCAGCCGGGAUUAAAAAGCAGGGUGGGCUGGGGGGCUUCACCUGUCUGGGCCUGGGUGUCCUCAUUGGUCAACAGAGUUGGUAAUGGGCACGAUUGUGGGUAUCUUGCCUGGCCCUGGGCUAAGCAUGUCACUUAGGUGUUGUGACGCUGUCUCCUUCCAUCCUCCCAGCAAGGGCAGGGGGUGCGUGUGUCCAGGGGUUGUGUCCAGCCCAAGGACGCAGCUGGUGAGCAGUAGGAUCAGGAUGCCACCCCAGCCAGUCCCACCCCACAGACCACGCUUUCAACUGCUGCGGCUGUUUCUAAGGAGACGGAGAAAGGGCCAAUUAGGACCGAGAACCAGGAGACGGCCUGGAGGGCAGUGCUCGAAUCGUGUUGUGAAGAGCGAGUCCUCCCAGCCUCCGUGUCGGAGGGCAUCUCUGGUGCCCGGCUCGGGCAGUCAGGGUUGCUACUGCUGACCUCGCCCUGCAGCUCCUGGGCACCUCCUGGCUUUGCUGGCGGCAUGUCUGCUGUGACCAGUGGGCUCUGAGGACUGGCUCCAGCCCCAGGGACCCUCGAGGGUCUGGAUGGCCGCUGGGCUGUGUUCUCCGCCUGACUGCCGAGCGGCGGGGACUGUCACUGAGUGCGGCUGUGGCCAGCGCUGACCGUCUUUGAUCUCUUGCUGUGGUUCGCCCAGGGCUCCAAGGACAGGUCUGUGUGGAGCAGAGGCGGAUUUUCUUGUCGACAGCUGGGUCUGGUCACAUGCAUGUCCCUCACUCGGAGAGGAAACACGGCUUCUUCUCUGGGCACCCGGGGCUGGGGAGGCCACCUCACAGCUGGAGCUUGCUGCCUCCUUCCCGGCCCCCAGCUGUCCUUUUCCCGUACCUAGGAACUGUGUCCUGGACGCCAGGAGGAGGCUUGGCAGAUGCCGUUACUCAGUGCUUGUUGCGUGGACAAACGGGACUGCGUUAGGCCCUGCGCCAAACCCGCUCCGUACCUCUUAUGCUUUGACCUCACGCUGACCCUGUGAGGUGGGCGAUGUUUCUAUCUCCAUGUUACGAAAGACGAACUGAACGUGGAAGGGCAAGCAGCCUGCUCCCGAGCACACCGCCCAUCAGUGUCAGAGCAAGGGGGCACCAGUGUCCUCUAGCGUCUCCGUCACGUGGACACAGUGCCAACAGUCACACGUCCCUCUGUGGGACACCCCGGAGGUGUAUGUCCUGUAUCGUAGAUACGCUCACGGCCAUGUGUAAGGUCCAGCCACUGAGCUGCGGGACAAUGUCCCCGAUACCCAGUGGCUUAUGAAGAUGAGCCUUUCCAUCUUGCUCGUAGGUCUGUGGGGUGAGACUGCUUCAGGCUGAAGGUCAAGGUCAAGGUCAAGUGUGACCCCUGCCUUUGCUUCUGAGGCCCAGACUGGAGGAGCAGUGGUUUCCUGGUGGGGGCUGGCACUUCCUGAGGGUGGACAGAACCCCCUGGUGUGUUUUAGUGGUGCGGCUGGGAACUGGGACGCCAUCUCUCCGCCCCGUUUCCAUGAGCAAAGCCCACCCUACUCCGAGGGGCAGGGGAUCGAGUUCUUCCCACCACAGAGGGAACGGCGGCAGCAGAGCCUGGCUGGAUAAGGGCACGUCCCUUGCAUCGCUGUCCUUAAACACAGGUGUGCUGUGCGCUGUGCUCUGUGAGCCCGGCUUCAGCAAAGACCCCCUUAGGGCCCCCCACUCUGCUGGACGCUAAUUUCCUUGUUGGGACAAUGGGGUCCCCACUGACUGGCUUAUGCUGAGAGUUAACUUUUACUAUUCCCCCGAGUUCAGGGGACACCCCCCACCUGAGCACCCCACGUGGAACAGGGUGAGGAGGACGCGGGCUUGGGCUCUGCAGCUGCCGGUUCCCUGGCCUGUCACGGUCAUCUGGGUGACCUCGUAGGUACCUCUUUGAGCCUCAGCCACCUUCUCUGUGAAGUGGGCAUGAACGGGACCCUCUCACAGAGGGUGACCACGGCGAUGGGACGCAUGGAAAAGCUGAGCAUGCGCUGCUCCUGAGAUGUGGUGACCGCUGGCCGCCUUCACCAACAGUGAUUCCGUUCUUGGGAUAAAACCAGAGAAUACUGCGUCCCUGUGCUGCUCGAGAAACUGUCCUGACUGUUCUGCCCGUGUCCCUCUGGGCCAGUCUCCUUCCCAGUCAGACGCACGUCGACUCUCGCUGUCAACGGGAAGGCUCAGGCGCUGCUUGGGGCAUUUAGAUGGCGUUUGCCGAUCCCUGGCUGCCGCGAUCCCUGGCUGCCGCGGCCAAUUUGUUCCCGAUCUCAAGGUCGAUUUUGAAUAAUUUCAACUGGGUGAAGCCUCUUGCAUGGAGUCGGGGAGAUACACUGUUAAGGCAGGGGCCGGGCAGGGCGGGGGGCUGUUUCUCUUUUGGAGGGUCUCUUUGAUUUGGGGGGGGGACGAGAAGGCUCCCAGCUCUGCCAAGAAGGUCCCAGGUGGUCUUGAGGGUCGGAGAAGAGGACAAGCAACAGGAGAAGAGCUAGGGAGUGCAGGACGCCGUGCUGGCGAUUGACACACGCUCCACUUGGGAGGCCCGGGAGCCUGUCUGAAGUCUGUGCUCCCCUCGGCCUCCCUCCCUCCCUUCCUGUUCAGGGAGGGGCUCCAAAGCCCAGCUGCGCUCAGCCGCCCUUCACCUCCCCUGGUCCCCUGCGGGGGCCCUGGGAGCACGGAGCUGGUGGGUUGAACUUGCUGGUCCCACUGGGAGUGGACCCUCGAGUCUGAGAUGGUGUCUGGCUCCCCAGCAGCUGACCUGGCCUCAGCCCCGUUGCUUGAUCCCUGGUGCAGACUUAGAGGUGACCGUGGUACGUCCGGGUGGCAUGACAGGUGGCCUGUGGGAUGCGGACACCUGUCUGAAUCUCUGAGUCCUGUGACUUAGGUGGUGAGGCUCCUUGGAAGCCCGAGACAGGGAUGGGGGUGAGGGUCCAUUCAGGGACCCCGUGGUGCUCUGGAGCAUGCGGUCGGGGAGCUGCCUUUGCCUGGAAGCAGACGGGCAGGACCUCCUCUGACCUCACUGCUGUGCUGGUCCUAGGGUGGGUGACAGGCUGCCGUCGGCCUAGGGGAUUCUCUGGAGCCAGUGUCUGCCCAGCUGAGAGGCACAGACGGGCACGGAUGGGCACGGACGGGCACGGACGGGCGGGCUGGUAAAGGGCCUCUGGCGGGCCACCCGCAGCAGGGACCACGUUGCACACCCUCUCUGGCCUCCGUGCUCCUCACCUGUAAGGUGGGCAAGUUGGUAAAACCUGCCUCCGAGCCUUAAUGACCCCAUGCCUGUGGCUGGCUUGGCCCAGCGCGGGCUCCACGGUGUCCACUGUAACCACGAUCGGUGGCCGGGGAGCCGUAACAGCUCUCACGAGCACCCAGUAUCUCAUUUAAUUCUCACGAGGCAGGUUUUACCACCAGGGCAGAGAAGAUGCAGAACCGGGGCACGGCGGGGAGAAGCACCUCGACUGAGCCCAGAGGGCAGGACCUGGCUUCCGGGCCAGGGGGUUCAGAGCCCCCAAGGGAGCCGUCUUGGAGGAUGGAUGCUUCUGACCUGGGGAUGUCAUUUUUUGUCACUCUUCCUUCCUUGACUUUAUCCAUCGUCUCUCCUGUGUCUCUGAGUCUCUGCGUAGUCUCUUCUCUGAGCUGGAAAUGCUUCUCCCCGUUUGCCUCAUCUGCUGUCGUUCUUUAAGUCUGAGCUGAGGCUGGCCUCUUCCAGGAAGCCCUCCAGAUGAGUCCCUCCCUGCCUGCCCUUUGCCUUCCCUCACCAAAGCACCUAUUAGAAUACAGUGUGAGUGUCCCCCGCGCUGGCCUGCGGCUCCGAAGGCAUGGGCAUCUCACCCGUCCCACUUACCACUGUGACCCCGGCCCCGCGCAUCUUGUCUGCCACAUAGUAGGUCCUCCAUACACGUUUGUUUCAUGGCGUGAGGAGCGCUCCAUCCACAUCCAAACCGAAACAGUGGAGGCUUAUGAAGUUCUUGUCGAGGUGAAUCAAAACAGGAGGAACUGAAUUCUUGCUGGGAAUGUUCUAGAACCAAUCGGAGACAUUGCUGAGAAUUUGGGCAACCCAGAAAAGAAGUCAAAUCCACCCACUGCCACUUCUAGGCAAUUUAUGCACAUGGAGAAUUACGGCAAGAGGUGGAGGGGGAUGGCACCUAGGACAUCCUCGCACCUGGGACAGCGCAACCAAAAAUCCACUCGAUAAAGUAAACACGGCCACGUCUGAGAUCUGAGCAGAAGAUGAGUCCGUCAUUUAAAAAGUGUUUGAAGAGCGACUUGGCCUGCACCCAGCAGCUCCUAGGGGUUCUAGAUGGUUCUACCCCGGGGUUCAGGCUUCUCCCCACCUUCUGCCUGGCUUCCCGGGGAGGCUAAAGGUGACUCUGGGAGUUUGGUGGCACCAUGCAUUGAGGAGCGGGGUCUGUUUCCUUGGGCCUGGGCUGCCCCAGGACUGCUGUGACCCCCCAGAGGGCCAUCGACGUGAUACCAGGGAGUCUUGCCUCCUAGGUGAGUCUUGCCUCCUCGGGUGCCGGACAGUUUUCGGCCUGGGCGCUGUCCUAGGUGCUGAAGACCCAGAGCCCAGCCAGAGAUCUUGCUCUGUGUUUGGUUCAGAGCUGGAUCGAGAUCUCUCCUUGGUUCCAACCCGUCGGAGACCCGUGUGUUUCCUGCCAGGUGGGGAGACGACCGAUACCGAGUGUGCGUGAUUCACAUUUGCCAUUAUUGUGUGGUCACAGGCCGUGUUGCCAUGAGUGCUCACCCCUGAAUGGUCACCCUUUUUAGUGUCUGCGUAGUAUUUGAUUGGGUGGAUACAGCGCCCUCUAGUGAGCCAUUUCCCCAUCGGUGGGUAAUGAAGUGACUUCCUCAGAGGCUUGGGGGACUCAGAUUGAGAGGUCGUCCUGCAGUCUGGGGUCGGGGGAGAGCCACCCCUACUCUUGGAACCCUGUGAGCUGGAGUUUCCCCAGACUGGCCUGUCCUGUAGGCAUGUCCCUGCAGCAAAGGGGGUGCUGGGGUUAUUGGGGUGGCAGGAAGGACCGUGGAUACCCCCUUACAGGGUCUCCCAUGCUUGGCCCUUUGUCCCGGCACCUGGCUCAGGUCUAGGUACCUUUGAACUGAGGCUUUCUCCUCUUCUCAUGUCUUGGCUCCAUUUUGACUCUCCGCACUUCUUGCUUGUCUUUGGAUUGAAUUCUCGUCUCCCUUUCCCCGAUCCCAGUCUCUGGCAAUGAUAGUUGCCCUGGGGGAUUGGCAGGUGCUGUGGGUGCCUUGCCUGCCUCCUUUCGGUGCUCAGUAUCCCCGUGGCCAGCAACCACAACAGUGCCCAGGCUUUAUCUGGCCACUAGAGCAUGCGGCGUGUGUAAAGGUCCUGGGGCAGGAAGACUAGCGUGGCAGAGACCGGAGUGGAGGUGCGUUGGGACGACUGAUGAUCUGAAAGCAAAUUUGCCUUGACAUCCGCUCCCCUUCCGUUUCCUUCUCUGUCUGUGCACUUCUGUUUUUUUUUUUUGAGCCCCAUUAUGGUCUGGCUUCAUCUAAAUGCAUCUGAAAUGAAAUCUCUAAUGUUAACAGCGUUGUCAGACGCCAGGGCCUCAUUUCUCCUUGGUCCCUUUUCACUGGAAGCGAUCUGUGAAGUCCUGGGGAGGAUAUGAGGGUUUUGAUGGUUUGAUUAUUUUUUUUUCCUGGUAGGACCACAUUAUGUUAAUUUCCCUGUUGUCUUAGGGUCUGAGCACAUAAAAGCAAUAACUCUUCUCUGUGAAGACUGAACGCGCCGAGAGGUUGUCAUAGAAACGGGGGGUGGGGGGACCUUCACGUCGGCUUGGGCAAAUCAAAGAACCCCCGAUAGAAGACUGAACUCGGAACUCGGUGGCCCAGUCGCGCGGCGUGUGGGAGAGAGGAGAAGGUCAACGUGGGGCAUGUGGACAGAGGGAGGGUGAGGAGGGGACGUGGGUCCUGGGCAUGGGUCACCUUGGUUUAAACACCCCCUUUCCUUUCUCUUUCCAAAGAUUUAGGUGGGAGUGGGUUUGGCCGAGAAGGGACGCAGGGGACGUGGCAGGUGACGUGGCAGGUGACACAGGUGCUGGGGCAGGAAGGGAGGUGGCCCUGAGUGCGUCCUCCCCGUGGAGUGUCCUCUGACGUCUUGGUCGUGGGAUUGAAGGGACUCCAACAUUCCCGGCUCUUCCUGCUUUGGUUUCUUGGCAGGUUUACUGACCGUGUCUCAAGCCGAGUUUCAGAAUUCACGAGUCGCGGUGGAUUUACCUUCUGAAGCCAAUUACUUCGGCUCCUAGUGACCCCUUGGAAGAAGGGCACUGGGGGACAGAGGAGGAAGCAGAGUCGGGGACGGAGCGUGGCAGCGGCUGGUGGCCAUGGUGACAGACGGGGUCACAAACCUCCGAGCGUGGCCUCCUGAGAGUGGCCGUGGACCCAGGGGCUUUCACAAGGUGUCCCCGAGGUCGUAUUGGGUCAGCCUGGGGUCAGGUCCUGGGCUGGGGACGUGGGAUGCUGGUUCUGCCCUCAUGUGGCAUCUUAGGGUCCCCUUGUGAGGUGCUUUUGAGGGGACGGUUCCUCACGGGUGGCCUCCACCCCAGAGCCCUGUGGUCCUGCCUCCUCGUGUUCUGUUCCUUGACCGUUUAAGGAGCAGGUGAUUAGAGUCCCCGUGUGACGUGUUGGUGGCGAUGAGCCCCUGUGUGUCCAGCCCCGCGGCAGAGUGGCUCCCCGCUCCUCUCAUCAGGUGGCCGGUGCAGACGGAAGGAGGGCGCGGACCCCUUCCUGGGGUCUCCUGUAGCCGGCGCUCAGGCCCCACGGACCUUGAGCUUCACGGCUCCGCUGCUCGCAGCCUCCAGGAGCUCACAGACGUGGGUCAGCCGCUUGAUGAGUGCUCGCUGUGACAGAAUGUGUCCCCCACGUGGGGGACCCUGAACCCCCAACGCGAUGGUGCUAGGAGAGGAGGACUUCAGGAACCGAUUAGGCCCUCCUGAUGGGAUUAGUGUCCUUCCAAAAGAGGCCCCAGGGCCAGCGGCCACCCAAGUUCACCCUCCCUGAUCGACUGUCCACGCCACGUCCAUGUUGGAAGACCAGGUGGGGCGGAAAGGCCUGGCUUUUCUUGAGUUAAUUCUGGCGAUCACGACUGUCGAGGAGGACAGUUAAAUUGGGAAAUGGAGCCUGAACCCCUAGUGGUGGUUUUGGGGUUACCUGAGUACUCUGUGGUCACACUGUCCCUGAGGAAGGGACUCACGGAUGACUGAAGAGUCUCGAGUGGACGCAGCGCCUGGCUCACAGGAGGUACUCAACGCGGUGUGUGUGGACCUCCGAGGAGCCCUGACCCUCUGACCCCACGGUCCCAUGUCACUGUCGGACGUUUUAUAACAAAGUAGAAGGACCCAGGCCAGAUGGGAUCCUGACCCUCGGAGAUCUAGGCAAAGCCUGCUCUAACGUGGGGAGGGGUCUCCUGGGGUCCCAUGGGCUGCCGGCUCCAGCGCCCUGCUUCCCCCCAGGAGCCCAGCGCAGGACCCUGUCUGUCCCCGAUGCUUACGGGGAAUCGCCUCCCGGCCCCGGAGCCCGGGUGACUCCCCUGGAGCACGCCGUCUGUGGAGAGAAUUCCUCUGGCUCACGUCGGCUUCCGGAACCUUCUACUCUGCCCCCACCCCGCCCGCCUCCCUUUUCCUUUUUAUCAUGCAGGUUACUUCUCUCCAGUUCCGGCUUCCAAAUCUGCUCCUCUCCAUAUUUCUCAGGCUCCAGCAGAGCAAGGAAAUCCUCCUCCAUGAAGUUUUGAAAAAAGAAAAAGAAACUAUUUUUGAUAUUUUUCCUCUGGAAAAAAAAAAAUCCCGCAUCUUAUUUGCGGCAUCCGACGGGGUCCCCUUGGAGACGUUCGCCUGGCUUCUGCGAUUCUGCCGAAUCCUCCACACUUCAUCUUGUCGCUUGCCAGGUGGAUCUGGGGACUCUCCCGGCCAAGGGCUCGGGAUGCGUUCCUGCUCUGCUCUAUGGCUGCGCGUCCCCCCCGUGUGACGUUGGAGCCGCCUGGAGGGUCAUCGCCCGGAGCCAGCUCCUGGGAAGAACUCAGUUCUGUCUCUGACCCCAGGGACAGUCCCAGGCCACUCCCAGCCCCCAUGCUCAGCAAAUCGAGGCUCAGAAAUGCGAUUUUUUUUUUUUUUUUAGUUUUACCAAGAAAUUGUUCUUUUUCACUCCUUUUAAGAACUGGCUACCCUUGAAGUGAAAAAAUGGACAGAAGGGACAGUUGAAAUAUUUUCAUAUCCCUUUCCACGUUGUCCCUUGAUCCCCCCCAGCCUGGGUUCCGUUCCUACCGCUCCUGGGUCCCGGCUGUGCAAAGUUUUCUGCAGUUAAAACCAGACGCGGCUCUUCCUCUGGUUGUAGAAAGGAAACUCCCCUCCGACGGCCUGUCGGGCUGAACCGCGGCAAAGCAGGGGUGACCCGGGACCCUGCCUUUCCUCAAGCGCCCGGGGCAGGCUGGCUGGGUGACCUGAGGGUCCGGUGCCCGGGGAGGAUGCCAGGGACUUCAAGACACCAACAGCAGAACGGGGUCCCCCAGGUGAGGGGGGGGGCACGUGUGACCGCUCCCGAGGCACACCAGAGAGCUGGCCCUGACCCCAUAACGCACAGAGAGGGACGUCGCCUCGAGUUCUCUGGUCGUGACGUUGGAUGUCAGCCAAGAAGUUAAAACUGGCGUCACGUCAGACCUGUGAUCCUCCUGCCUCAGCCUCUCAGCUGCUGGAAUUACAGGCCUAAGCCUCUGUGCCCAGCCAAUUACUUCUUUGUAUUUAAAAAAAAAAAUACAAAUCCACCUUAUUCCAAGAAGGAA